AAGAUAUUUAGCAUAAGCAUAAACAUUGAUACUGUAAAACGUUUUAUUUCUGAUGUUUCUCGUUAUUGCUUGAAUUAUCUGAUAUAUAAUGAUAUAUGAAAAGCAGUGUACUCAAAAAUACUACUGUUUUUAUAUUCAAUAACUUGGGAAGAAAAUUAAAAUUGAUUGGAAAUAUAGAGUUGCAAACCUAUCUAUCUUUAUUCAGUAAACUGUGAGUGGUUGUAGUUUUUUGGACAUUUUUGUGGGAUUUUCAGAAAAAAUUAAUAGUUACCAAUCAAAUUUUCCUCUAUAAUAUUAAUAGAUAAUUGCACUUUAUUCAUAAACAUAUACAUUUAUACCUUCAGUAUGUAUUAUAAUAUUUGUUUUACCAAAUGAUUCAAAUUGCAGAUGCAGAAAAAAAUACAUUUUGUCGAAUAUUUGAUUAAUUUUCAGAAUCU
rnacentral:lncRNA from 1 species